rnacentral:rRNA from 1 species
UAUGGCCAUACCACCCUGAAUGUGCCUGAUCUCGUCCGAUCUCAGAAGCUAAGCAGGAUCAGGCCUGGUUAGUACUUGGAUGGGAGAUAAAAUUUUUUUUAAAUCCUGGUAGAUAUUAUAA